AACGAACGCUGGCGGCAUGCCUAACACAUGCAAGUCGAACGAAGUCUUCGGACUUAGUGGCGCACGGGUGCGUAACGCGUGGGAAUCUGCCCUUGGGUACGGAAUAACUCAGAGAAAUUUGUGCUAAUACCGUAUAAUGUCGUAAGACCAAAGAUUUAUCGCCCAAGGAUGAGCCCGCGUAAGAUUAGCUAGUUGGUAGGGUAAAAGCCUACCAAGGCGACGAUCUUUAGCUGGUCUGAGAGGAUGAUCAGCCACACUGGGACUGAGACACGGCCCAGACUCCUACGGGAGGCAGCAGUGGGGAAUAUUGGACAAUGGGCGAAAGCCUGAUCCAGCAAUGCCGCGUGAGUGAUGAAGGCCCUAGGGUUGUAAAGCUCUUUUACCCGGGACUGAUAAUGACAGUACCGGGAGAAUAAGACUCCGGCUAACUCCGUGCCAGCAGCCGCGGU
rnacentral:rRNA from 1 species